rnacentral:rRNA from 1 species
CAAGUCGAGCGAAUCGAUGGGAGCUUGCUCCCUGAGAUUAGCGGCGGACGGGUGAGUAACACGUGGGUAACCUGCCUGUAAGAUUGGGAUAACUCCGGGAAACCGGAGCUAAUACCGGAUAACAUUUUGAACCGCAUGGUUCAAAAUUGAAAGACGGCUUCGGCUGUCACUUACAGAUGGACCCGCGGCGCAUUAGCUAGUUGGUGAGGUAACGGCUCACCAAGGCAACGAUGCGUAGCCGACCUGAGAGGGUGAUCGGCCACACUGGGACUGAGACACGGCCCAGACUCCUACGGGAGGCAGCAGUAGGGAAUCUUCCGCAAUGGACGAAAGUCUGACGGAGCAACGCCGCGUGAACGAUGAAGGCCUUCGGGUCGUAAAGUUCUGUUGUUAGGGAAGAACAAGUACCAGAGUAACUGCUGGUACCU